rnacentral:rRNA from 1 species
GACGAACGCUGGCGGCGUGCUUAACACAUGCAAGUCGAGCGGUAAGGCCCUUUCGGGGGUACACGAGCGGCGAACGGGUGAGUAACACGUGGGUGACCUGCCCUCAGCUCUGGGAUAAGCCUGGGAAACCGGGUCUAAUACUGGAUAUGACUCCAUGACGCAUGUUGUGGGGUGGAAAGCCUUGUGCGGCUGAGGAUGGGCCCGCGGCCUAUCAGCUUGUUGGUGGGGUGANGGCCUACCAAGGCGACGACGGGUAGCCGGCCUGAGAGGGCGACCGGUCACACUGGGACUGAGACACGGCCCAGACUCCUACGGGAGGCAGCAGUGGGGAAUCUUGCGCAAUGGGCGAAAGCCUGACGCAGCGACGCCGCGUGAGGGAUGACGGCCUGGUGUAAC